rnacentral:tRNA from 1 species
GCCUCUUUAGUAUAUUAUGUACAUUUGCCUUCCAGCCAAAAAGAUUAAGUAAAUUUAAAAGGGGUA